rnacentral:snoRNA from 1 species
UCGAAUGAUGAAUGGCACUGGGCGCCGAGAGCACAAAAUUGUGUCUCGUCAUGAUUGGAAAAGCCCUUUUGCGGCAGGCCUAGAAAACCUCGCCCACUGAUC